rnacentral:rRNA from 1 species
GACGAACGCUGGCGGCGUGCUUAACACAUGCAAGUCGAACGAAAAGAGGGAAAGAGCUUGCUCUUUCCGGAAUUGAGUGGCAAACGGGUGAGUAACACGUAAACAACCUGCCUUCAGGAUGGGGACAACAGACGGAAACGACUGCUAAUACCGAAUAAGUUCCAAGGGCCGCAUGGCCCAUGGAAGAAAAGGUGGCCUCUACCUGUAAGCUAUCGCCUGAAGAGGGGUUUGCGGCUGAUUAGCUGGUUGGAGGGGUAACGGCCCACCAAGGCGACGAUCAGUAUCCGGUCGGAGAGGAUGGACGGCCAGACUGGGAUUGGGACACGGUCCAGACUCAUACGGGAGGCAGCAGUGGGGAAUCUUCCGCAAUGGGCGAAAGCCUGACGGAGCAACGCCGCGGGCGUGAUGACGGCCUUCGGGUUGUAAAACUCUGUGAUCCGGGACGAAAAGGCAGAGUGCGAAGAACAAACUGCAUUGACGGUACCGGAAAAGCAAGCCACGGCUAACUACGUG